UACGGAGGGUGCAAGCGUUAUCCGGAUUCACUGGGUUUAAAGGGUGUGUAGGCGGGUCUGUAAGUCAGUGGUGAAAUCUCCGAGCUCAACUUGGAAACUGCCAUUGAUACUAUAGAUCUUGAAUUUUGUUGAGGUAGGCGGAAUAUGUCAUGUAGCGGUGAAAUGCAUAGAUAUGACAUAGAACACCGAUUGCGAAGGCAGCUUACUAAGCAAAUAUUGACGCUGAGGCACGAAAGCGUGGGGAUCAAACAGG
rnacentral:rRNA from 1 species